rnacentral:lncRNA from 1 species
GUUCACUGAGUCCACUGGAUUAGCAAAGCAGGACAACGCCUUCUGUACCACCAUCUAUGCCAUCUAGUUAGGAGGCAGAAUCUCAGGACUAAUUGCUUCAUUUCUUCAUUUGGCCUUGAAAAAACAUUUCGUUAUUUGUUGUUGCCUGCUAUGUGGAAGGGACCAAGAAUAUCCUCUAAAACAGAAUCUGUUUUGUUUGGUGCUAUGGACACCCUAGGGAGGAAAAAAUUUUUUUGAAAGAGGAGCUGUCAUUUCCAACUUAUCUUUAUUACUCACCUCAAUGCUCGAGGAUCUCUCCACUCAUUCAUGAAGCGUAAUAAGGAGGACACGAAAGCUGGAGCUGGGGGAUGUCUGGCUAUUUUAUAUAAGAUGGCUGAGGAAGGCAGCACAGGUAUUCAAGCCAAGACCUGAGGGACACGAGCAAGCAAGCCACACAGACGUGUGCAAGAAAGGGGAUUGCAGCAAACGUGAAGAGGAAGCUGCAGCGUGGUUUGUAAAUCGUGAAAGAUCAAGGAAGCUGUGAGGACACAAUGAGAAGAUGGCCAUCUGCAAGCCAGGAAGAGAGCCCUCCCUGAGGAACUGAAUGGGCCAGCACCUUGGGCUUGGACUUCCAGUCUCCUGAACUAUAAUGGUUAUGGUGGUUCUAAAACAUGACUUCAAAUUCUUUGGGACUCCUCCCAUCAAAAGUGGGGUGCUUGUGAAGAUAUUUCCAAGGACGUAGUUCCCUGGAAGGAAGAAGUUCUGCGCUCCAGUGGGACCUCAUCAGAUACCCCUCCAUCUCUCCAUCUCCGGCUCUCCAGGAUAUUCUUCACAGCCUCCUCCUGCUGUUGUCCCUCUGUCUCUCUACAUCUUGGGAUAAUGGAAAGAUGGCUUCAGAUCAGGCCUCCAUUGUGCAACUGGCCCAUCCAGAAACUCAAGAAACUUCCCUGUGCCCAAAGUGGAGAGAACUCUGAGGCUCUGGGGAGGCAGAAACACAAAAUGGAAGGAAACUGAACUACUGGAUGUCGUCUGGAAGGCCCACCCUCUGACCAGGAACACCAGCAUUAGACACUCAUGUGCAAUCAGAGGUUGGCUGGGCUGAAGUCAUCUGAAGGCUUGACCGGGCAGGAC